CACUUCCAAGUUGACAAACAUCCUCCAUCGGCAAAGGGGCAAGGCUGAGAUGGUGAACCAGAAUCCUGUACCAUUUCGAGCAGCGUCUGCUGUAGCUCCUCCAAGUCCAGGCUAUAUUGCUUCUCCUGACAUGAUUAAGGUAGGGCGAUUCCCUUCGGGGAUUAGCGGGCCGUCAAACGUGGCGGCUAGACAGUUCCUCUAUCCGCUGUUGGGGGAGUGCUCCUUCGGAGCAGCCUCUCUCUAGUACUAAAUCGGAUUCCAGUCCAGUGGAGAGCGAAGCUUCCUCUACCGCUAUGUAGAGUCAUUUGGAUGAUUAUUGAAGUUAACAUCACUAUAUUUACUUUU